rnacentral:rRNA from 1 species
GUUCUUUAAAUGGGGACUUGUAUCAACGGCAUCACGAGGGUUUUACUGUCUCCUUUUUCUAAUCAGCGAAACUAAUCUCCCCGUGAAGAAGCGGGGAUAUUUAUAUAAGACGAGAAGACCCCAUGGAGCUUCAAACCCAAUUACACCCCCCCCCCCCCC